UUUUCAGAACGCUUGGUGAGAGGUGGAGGAGCAGUGGCUGCCCGAGCUGCCCACAGCUGUGUUCUCCUUCCUGCUGCCCCACGCUGGCCUCAGCCUGAUCACUGGCUGUAGAAAAUGGUGAAAGAAACCACUUGCUAUGAUGUUUUGGGGGUCAAACCCAAUGCCACUCAUGACGAAUUGAAAAAGGCUUAUAGGAAACUGGCCUUGAAGUACCAUCCUGAUAAGAAUCCAAAUGAAGGAGAGAAGUUUAAACAGAUUUCUCAAGCUUAUGAAGUUCUCUCUGAUGCAAAGGAAAGGGAAUUAUAUGACAAAGGAGGAGAACAGGCAAUUAAAGAGGGUGGAGCAGGUGGAGGUUUUGGCUCUCCCAUGGACAUCUUUGAUAUGUUUUCUGGAGGAGGAGGAAGGAUGCAGAGAGAAAGAAGAGGUAAGGAUGUCAUGCAUCAGCUUUCAGUAACCUUAGAAGAUUUAUAUAAUGGUACAACAAGAAAACUGGCUCUGCAAAAGAAUGUGAUUUGUGACAAAUGUGAAGGCAGAGGUGGUAAGAAAGGAGUGGUAGAGUGCUGUCCCAAUUGCUGAGGUACUGGAAUGCAAAUAAGAAUUCAUCAGAUAGGACCUGGAAUGGUUCAGCAAGUUCAAUCUGUGUGCAUGGAGUGCCAGGGUCAUGGGGAACGGAUCAGUCCUAAAGAUAGAUGUAAAAGCUGCAAUGGGAGGAAGAUAGGAAGAAGAAGAUCCUAAAAGUUCAUAUUGACAAAGGCAACCAGGUUGCCGCAGGCCAGUCUCACCUGCUCAGCCUCAGCUUGUACAUCACCAGGAUGGGUCAACCCAGUGACCCCAUGAGCUGCAUGCAAGAGCCCCCCCCCCCCACCCUGCUGGGCCCCUGUUGGAAGAUGAAGGCUCUGGCCCCGCUGGUGUCUGGGGAGCUCUGCCUUCCACUUGAAAGCGGGAAUGAUUAA